rnacentral:lncRNA from 1 species
CUCUUUAUCAGACGGCUUUCCCGAAGGAGCAUAGGGUCCAUAAUCAACUGCGACCGGCUGGACAAGGCAACGUCUCUUUAUCAGACGGCUUUCCCGAAGGAGCAUAGGGUCCAUAAUCAACUGCGACCGGCUUCCCGUUGUCCAGGGGUAUCCCAAAUAAGGAUAACGUCCAGCUCAACAGCCCGGGACGAUUUCUCAUAACCAUCACACGAUCACUCAAAU